CUGUCUCAAAGAUUAAGCCAUGCAUGUCUCAGUAUAAGCAUUUAUACAGCGAAACUGCGAAUGGCUCAUUAAAUCAGUUAUAAUUUAUUUGAUAAUACUUUUCUACAUGGAUAACUGUGGUAAUUCUAGAGCUAAUACAUGCACAAAAUCCUGACUUUUUGAAGGGAUGUAUUUAUUAGAUUUCAAACCAAUACUUUUUUAUUAAAGUUUUUGAUGAUUCAUAAUAACUUAAUGCAGCGUCUGUCAAGAUGCGAGAUCAUUCAAAUAUCUGCCCUAUCAAGUUUCGAUGUGAGGAUAGUGUCCUUACAUGCUUUUGACGGGUAACGGGGAAUUAGGGUUCGAUUCCGGAGAGGGAGCCUGAGAAAUGGCUACCACAUCCAAGGAAGGCAGCAGGCGCGUAAAUUACCCAAUCCUGAUACAGGGAGGUAGUGACAAGAAAUACUGAUACAGGGCCUACUAUGGUCUUGUGAUUGGAAUGAGUACAAUUUAAACUCCUUAACGAGGAACAACUAAAGGGCAAGUCUGGUGCCAGCAGCCGCGGUAAUUCCAGCUUUAGUAGCAUACAUUAAAAUUGUUGCAGUUAAAACGCCUGUAGUUGAAUUUUGGUUUCAACUUUCUGGUCCGCCUCACCGCGAGUAUCAGUAAAAGUGAAACUUUUUUUUCUUGGAUAUCUGCAUGCCCUUUAUUGGGUGUGUUAGAGAACCAAGACUUUUACUUUGAAAAAAUUAGGGUGUUCAAAGCAGGUAUUUGCUUGAAUAUUUUAGCAUGGAAUAAUAAAAUAUGACAAUUGGUUAUUUUUUGUUGGUUAUAUAACUGUUGUAAUGAUUAAUAGGGAUAGUUGGGGGCAUCGGUAUUCAAUUGUCAGAGGUGAAAUUCUUGGAUUGAUUGAAGACCAACUGCUGCGAAAGCAUUUGCCAAAGAUGUUUUCAUUGAUCAAGGACGAAAGUUAGGUGAGCGAAAACGAUCAGAUACCGUUGUAGUCUUAACCGUAAACUAUGCCAACUAGGGAUCAGGUGGUUGUCUUUAAUAUGUCCCACUUGGCACCUUAUGAGAAAUCAAAGUUUUUGGGUUCU
rnacentral:rRNA from 1 species